ACGGAAGGCCAGCAGUGGGGAAUAUUGCACAAUGGGGGAAACCCUGAUGCAGCGACGCUGCGUGAGCGAUGAAGUAUUUCGGUAUGUAAAGCUCUAUCAGCAGGGAAGAAAAUGACGGUACCUGACUAAGAAGCUCCGGCUAAAUACGUGCCAGCAGCCGCGGUAAUACGUAUGGAGCAAGCGUUAUCCGGAUUUACUGGGUGUAAAGGGAGCGCAGGCGGUUUGGCAAGUCUGAAGUGAAAGCCCGUGGCUCAACCGCGGGACUGCUUUGGAAACUGUCAAACUAGAGUAUCGGAGAGGCAAGUGGAAUUCCUAGUGUAGCGGUGAAAUGCGUAGAUAUUAGGAGGAACGCCAGUGGCGAAGGCGGCUUGCUGGACGAUAACUGACGCUGAGGCUCGAAAGCGUGGGGAGCAAACAGGAGUAGAUACCCUGGUA
rnacentral:rRNA from 1 species